rnacentral:rRNA from 1 species
CCUACGGGGGGCAGCAGUGAGGAAUAUUGGUCAAUGGGCGUAAGCCUGAACCAGCCAAGUCGCGUGAGGGAUGAAGGUUCUAUGGAUCGUAAACCUCUUUUAUAAGGGAAUAAAGUGCGGGACGUGUCCCGUUUUGCAUGUACCUUAUGAAUAAGGAUCGGCUAACUCCGUGCCAGCAGCCGCGGUAAUACGGAGGAUCCGAGCGUUAUCCGGAUUUAUUGGGUUUAAAGGGUGCGUAGGCGGCCUUGUAAGUCAGCGGUGAAAGUCUGUGGCUCAACCGUAGAAUUGCCGUUGAAACUGGGAGGCUUGAGUAUGUUAGAGGCAGGCGGAAUGCGUGGUGUAGCGGUGAAAUGCUUAGAUAUCACGCAGAACCCCGAUUGCGAAGGCAGCCUGCCAGGCCAUGACUGACGCUGAUGCACGAAAGCGUGGGGAGCAAACAGGAUUAGAUACCCGGGUAGUC